GAGGGUGUAGCUCAAGAGGUAGGGCGCAUGCUUAGCAUGCAAAGUCCUGGGUUCAAUCCCCAGCACCUCCU
rnacentral:tRNA from 1 species